UAUUACGUACAGAGUGGGGCAAAAAAAUUUCUACAUAGGAAGCAAUGUGUACGGUAGAUGCGAGGUGGUAGCUACGGAAUGGGUGGUGCAGGAGGUGCUCAAGUUUCAGUGCUUUCAACCUACCAUCUACAAUUUCUUGCAGUAUAACUUUUUAUUCUUUCAGCACAAAUAUGACCUGAAAUUCAGCAUAAAUUAAAGGUAUUACCUAAAAGCAGCUAAUGCUGAUGCAGAGGUUCAGAAGAGGGUCAAGUAUCUGGCAGAGCUGGCACUGUCAGGUCAUGAGCAACUGUGCUACCGGCCUUCAACAGUUGCUGCAGCACUUGUAAUCCUGGCUUGUCUUGAAGUCAAUCAAAUUUCAUACCACAAAGUCAUAGGGAUUCACGUUAGAUCAAAAGAUGAGAAUUUGUACGAAUGCAUAGAGAAUCUGGAGUGGGUGUUACGCUAUCUAGGAUAGCAUACUAGUUGGCAUGGAGGCAUUGCUUAUGCAAUUCAGUUUGGUGACGAUGGUUCCUAACCAUCAGAAGACAAAUGGCUUUCUCAUGCCUGGUUGGUUCUUCAUUAAUACAAAAUAAAGUCCAUUUGUUUCCCUACCUGAGAGGAAGGGAAUUCUAUUUUUUUUUCUAUGUAACUAUAUUGAUUGUUCAGUAUAUCGAUAUAGAAGAAAAAAAUAUACUCAUUUUUUUCAGAAGCUGUGAGAACCACACAACAGACAGGAAACUCAGCUGUUAACUGUUAAUGACCUACAAAGAUAUUACAGGGUUAUACAAAAGUUUAUCUAA